ACAGAGCUUUCGACCGCGACCCCAGGUCAGACGGGAUUACCCGCUGAGUUUAAGCAUAUCAAUAAGCGGAGGA
rnacentral:rRNA from 1 species